AAAACUACCAAAGGAAGCAUCUCAACAAAAGAGCCACGCUUUGCUUUUCAGCUCCAAAAACUAAAGGUACAAGUACCAAACCAAUUCUUUACACUAUAUACCACUGCAUUCACUAUUAUGACCUUAAGGUAACUUCAAAGUAACAAUAAAUCAGCAUGUGGAGCAAUCUCAUUUCUUCAAAGUCCAAAUUCCAUUUAUGUCCAGUAUUUCAUUAUCUUAGCAUUAUAUUUUCCUUUCAUAGUUAAUUUUUGGUAGAGGUAAACACUUACUAUAAGAAUUGGAUUGGAACUUGCAGGAUUCCCAUGUGAAUGAAUAUCAGACAACUGAGAAGGAUCUUCUUGUUGUUUCCCAUUUGAAGGCAGUUCAGAAAUACAAACAUCAUCUUCCUCACAUUGACCUUCUCCAUCAUGCCCCUUUUUCACUCUUGCAUGAGCAGGUUUUGAC
rnacentral:lncRNA from 1 species